rnacentral:rRNA from 1 species
CGGGGCGGUGAAAGUGGCGCACGGGUGAGUAUACACGUGGAUAAUCUGCCCAGUGAUCCGGGAUAACCUUUCGAAAGGAGGGCUAAUACCGGGUAAGCCCACGGCGUCUUCGGACGACGCGGGAAUAGGUGGGGACCUUCGGGCCUACUGUCACUGGAUGAGUCCGCGGCCCAUUAGCUAGUUGGUGAGGUAAUGGCUCACCAAGGCUACGAUGGGUAGCUGGUCUGAGAGGAUGAUCAGCCACACUGGAACUGAGACACGGUCCAGACUCCUACGGGAGGCAGCAGUGGGGAAUUUUGCGCAAUGGGGGAAACCCUGACGCAGCAACGCCGCGUGAGUGAUGAAGGCCUUCGGGUCGUAAAGCUCUGUCAGAGGGGAAGAAACCCCCACCGGUUAAUACCCGGGGCUGCGG